rnacentral:rRNA from 1 species
UACAGAGGCCUCAAGCGUUGCUCGGAAUCACUGGGCUUAAAGGGUGCGUAGGCGGAUGUGCAAGUGCCUUGUGACAUCCCAGGGCUCAACUCUGGAACUGCUUGGUAGACUGCAUGUCUUGAGGUCGGUAGAGGUCGCUGGAACGGUUGGUGGAGCGGUGAAAUGCGUAGAUAUCAACCGGAACGACCAAGGUGAAGACAAGCGACUGGGCCGAUUCGGACGCUGAGGCACGAAAGCGUGGGGAGCAAACGGG